UACGUCAUACACACCCUAAUUAUUACAUAUAUAAGCCAAAUCCUAAUCACAAAACAACCUCAACUAUUAUUAAAAAUAUAAGCCGCAUGGGGUGCUCAUUAUUACUAUAAGAUGCACAGUUGAUACUAUAAACAAAGUUACGAACAGUAGUGGAUUGAUAUGGCUCUGCUCGACUGAUACAACUGUGAGCACAGUAUCGACACAGAUAACCAGCAAUGUAGACACAGUUACAAACACUACUGGUAUGAUGUGGCUCUGUCCUACUGCCACAACUAAGAACACAGUCCCGACACAGAUGAUAGACAUUAUUACAAACUCUACUGGUAUGAUGUGGUUCUGCCCAACUGCCACAAGUAAGAACACAGUUCCGACACAGAUGAUAGGUAGAAAGGCAACUGGCUGAUAAUGUAACUGAACAUCUGCUGCAAACAUAUUCAACCAAAGAAUUUAACAAAACCAUCAAAACAUUUUGGAACAUCGAGGAGAAGAAGAUUUAUCACAGAGAACUAUAAGCAUACUAACACCAUAUUUCCCCACAACAUUUUAUACACUUCCGAAAAUUCAUGAAACUGUCAGACCAUCACCAGGACGUCCAAUUUUUGCCAGUUAUGGGAGCCCGACUUAAAGGAUAUCAGUUUACAUUGACGACCAACUGCAGCCUUUUGUGAAAUUACUUCUAUAUUAUGUUAAAUAUACUAAUGAUUUUAUUGUUAAA